UCUCCUGGAAACGGGUGGUAAUGCCGGAUGCUCCGACUCCUCGCAUGGGGUGUCGGGAAAGAUUCAUCGGUAUGGGAUGGGGUCGCGUCCUAUCAGGUAGUCGGCGGGGUAACGGCCCACCGAGCCUACGACGGGUAGCCGGCCUGAGAGGGCGACCGGCCACAUUGGGACUGAGAUACGGCCCAGACUCCUACGGGAGGCAGCAGUGGGGAAUAUUGCACAAUGGGCGCAAGCCUGAUGCAGCGACGCCGCGUGCGGGAUGACGGCCUUCGGGUUGUAAACCGCUUUUGAUCGGGAGCAAGCCUUCGGGUGAGUGUACCUUUCGAAUAAGCACCGGCUAACUACGUGCCAGCAGCCGCGGUAAUACGUAGGGUGCAAGCGUUAUCCGGAAUUAUUGGGCGUAAAGGGCUCGUAGGCGGUUCGUCGCGUCCGGUGUGAAAGUCCAUCGCUUAACGGUGGAUCUGCGCCGGGUACGGGCGGGCUGGAGUGCGGUAGGGGAGACUGGAAUUCCCGGUGUAACGGUGGAAUGUGUAGAUAUCGG
rnacentral:rRNA from 2 species